rnacentral:tRNA from 1 species
UAAGGGAGACCGAACCCAUCAAUAACCGAAAGCAAACAGCUUCUAGGUAGAAUUGAUGAGGUCAUCCUAGGUCGCAGCGAAGUGAGGUAGUGUGGCUUUCUAACUAUAAUUAGGUUUGGCAAAGGGGCUAUUAGCUCAGGUGGUUAGAGCGCACCCCUGAUAAGGGUGAGGUCCCUGGUUCGAGUCCAGGAUGGCCCACCUAAGAGUAGUUAUGAGUAUUGAGGGAUGAGUGCUUAAUUUGUAACUCAAGACUGAAAGCUCAAAACUAGGAAAGAGGGGGUAUAGCUCAGUUGGUAGAGCGCCUGCUUUGCAAGCAGGAUGUCAGCGGUUCGAGUCCGCUUACCUCCACAUGAGUAGCAGCCAAAAUUACAGAGCAAGAAUAAUUCAGCACCUAGACAAAAACAAGUUGUCGGCAUGCUGAAUAGAUUAUUCAGUCAGAACCUUGAAAACUGCAUAGCAACAACAAUAGCAGGCAGAUACCAAAAGUAUCUGAAUGAAAAACC